UACGUAGGGGGCAAGCGUUGUCCGGAUUUAUUGGGCGUAAAGAGCGUGUAGGCGGCCAGAUAGGUCCGUUGUGAAAACUCGAGGCUCAACCUCCAGACGUCGACGGAAACCGCGUGGCUAGAGUCCGGAAGAGGAGAGUGGAAUUCCUGGUGUAGCGGUGAAAUGCGCAGAUAUCAGGAAGAACACCAAUGGCGAAGGCAGCUCUCUGGGACGGUACUGACGCUGAGACGCGAAAGCGUGGGGAGCGAACAGG
rnacentral:rRNA from 1 species